GCGAAAUUCCUUGUCGGGUAAGUUCCGACCUGCACGAAUGGCGUAACGACUUCCCCGCUGUCUCAACCAUGGACUCAGUGAAAUUGAAUUCUCGGUGAAGAUGCCGAGUACCCGCGGCAAGACGGAAAGACCCCGUGAACCUUUACUAUAACUUGGCAGUGGUAUUCGGGUGGAUCUGUGUAGGAUAGGUGGGAGGCUUCGAAGCCGGUGCGCCAGCAUCGGUGGAGCCGUCGUUGAAAUACCACCCUGGUCCUCCUGGAUGCCUAACGUGGCCGGCUGAAGCGUCGGUACGGACACUGCCUGGUGGGUAGUUUGACUGGGGCGGUCGCCUCCCAAAAAGUACGGAGGCGCACAAAGGUUCCCUCAGGCUGAUUGGAAACCAGCCGAAGAGUGCAAAGGCAGAAGGGAGCUUGACUGCGAGACCUACAAGUCGAGCAGGUGCGAAAGCAGGUCUUAGUGAUCCGGUGGUUCUGUGUGGAAGGCCAUCGCUUAACGGAUAAAA
rnacentral:rRNA from 1 species